GCCUACAGCCACACCACCUUGAAAGCGUUUGAUCUCAGAAAGCGAUCCAGGGCCGGGCCUGGUUAGUACCUGGAUGGUAGACUGCCUGGGAAUACCAGGUGUCGUGGGCU
rnacentral:rRNA from 1 species